UGGUGGGGUCCUAGAGCUGCCAUUGAGGUUCCUCAGGCAGUAGUGGGGUGAAUAAGGUCCCCAUGCUAGCCAGGACAUGCACAAGAGGGCCAUGCCCGGCCUCUCGCAUCAGGCAGUGGGAUACAGCACUGGCUGCAUCUGGGCAGACACAAUCCCUGUGCUCACCCUGCAGCAUAACCUGGAGGGGAUAUUUUCUCCUGUGCAGGGACCCAGGGAGAACACCAACCUCACACAGCUGCUGUGCCACCUGCACAGAAGCGAUAUGUUGCACAGAGUGAUGCUCUUCGACUCGAGUCUGCAGCACGUGGUGAGGGGUCCUGCUUCCCUGCUUUGGUAUUGCUGCUCCAGGAGCAGACACAGGGACAGCUGCAGACUGCAGCAGUCCUACGGGUGUCCGGCUGCUGAGGGGACUGUACAGAUACCCCAGCUUCAAAGGGAAAGGCACAGGGCUGAGCUGUCCCUGCCUGUGUCCCUGUGUGCUGCUUGGUGCAGGGGAAGGAGGAAGUGUGCAAUGGGUGUGCGGACGCUUUCAAAAGCGAAACCCUGCCAGUAUGCAGGGCUGGGAUGUGGGGCUGCGUCCGGCAGCACUGCAGGCUCAGUGCGUGGCGGCACAGCUCAAUGGGCACCAGAAGGUCCUGGGAACACGGCUGUGGGGCAAGGAUCCUGCUGAGGGUGCGGGAAUGCAAUGUGCAGGACAGGGAUGCCAGCAGGGUCCUGGGCAUUGCUUCUGCCUUAUUGUACUCAUGUUACAGAGCUCUGGCCCUGCCCUGACACGAGAGCACCAACACGGGCUACCAGCCUUCCGGAGCAGGGCCCAUGAGGCAGCAGGAGCCCCAGAGCAGGGCUCAGCAGGGCCAGCCUCCAUCUCUGCAGGCAGCACCAGGCGGCACUGCAGCAGGGCUCAGGGCCCAGCUGAGAGGCCCCGGUGGGAAGGCCUGGCCUGCUCGGGAGGGACAAGCGCUGCCAGCCAGGAGGCCGCCAUUCCUCCUGGCAGUGGCACACAGCACUGGCAUAGAGCAGAUGAGGAAGGACAACCUGUUCAAAGACUUAAUGAAAACUCCAGGGAUGGCUGCUUGGCACCUUCCAUCAGGAACAUACAGCAGGGAUGUGAAUCCUGCCCUCAGCCACUGCAGGUCCUUACAGAAUACAGGAACAGACAGGUGCAGGAGGUGACUCAGGCCCCUGAUACGAUGUCUCUUGUUUCAGAGGGAGCUCUUUACCAUGUGUCCUCUUCCCACCCACAACAGAGGUGUCCUCAGAAGAGGAGAUCCUACCAGCAAGCGCAGGGUGCAGGAAGGAGAAUGGAGCAGUUUGCUACUGUUCUGCAGUGCCAGGCAGGGAGAGGUGAUGCUGCCACGGCCAGAGCCACACCUUCUUCCAGACAGAGCCAUAUCCUCGGGGCCUGCUCACAGCGAUGUCCCCAGGAUGCUGACAGCAGCGUCAUCGUAGCUCGUGUCCUCAGCGUGUUGUGCCGGGGCAUCCCAGGUGUGGGGAGAGGGGGACACCUCUGGCACAGCCAUAGCAUCGUCGUAGCCAUGUGAGGGGCUGUGCUGGGGCUGGGCAAGGGGGUCUGUGGGAGGCAUGGAGGGGCCGGUGGUGAGGACACAGCCAGGAGGGGAUGCGUGCCCUCGCCUCCCCAUCUGCACUGUUUGGCUGUGUCCCAUCAGAUAAGUGCCUGGUGCAUUUCUAUCCUCACAGGGCACCUCUGUGCCUAUGUCCCUACCUGGGGACAGCUGGAGGUCUCUCUCCUCUUGACCAUCCCUGGUGUGAAGUGACAGCUUUGUUCCUGAGCCUUGAGACAGGGAGCCUGGAGGGGAGGAAGUGUGUUAUGGACAUGAUAGGUGAUGGGGAGAGCCCUAGGCUGCGGGGGACCUCCCGCUCCCACCUGUGCUGCUGGGCACCUCCUGGUACUUGGGCAUCAGGCUGUCGUCAAGCUCCUCAUACACAACCUCGGAGGCAGCAUCCUUGCUGGGGCCUGCAAUGCAGUGCGCAUGGCACUGGUGUCCCCGGUGUCCCCAAGGUGCUGCCCCGUGGUGGGGGCCCCCCAGAUCAGUGCCCACCUUGACACUGGGCCUGUGCGCGGUGUGCCUGCACAACCAGGGUGGCCAGGGCCAGGCACAGCAGCGUCCCCAGGAUCACGCACAGGACUGUGAGUGCGGUCACACUCCUUGGUGCUGCUGUUUGCGGAGCGGCGCUGUGGGUGAGAGCUGUGGGGCAGUGAUGGGAAGUGUGAGGCCCCAUGGGAUCCCAUGGCAGCGGUUAGAGGACAGUGAGCAUGGACAGAACAAUUUGUUGAGGUGAUUCUGUCCUUGUGGCUGCUACCUGGGGCUGGGCUGGUGGCCUCACUCCUGUCUCUUGUGUCCUCUUCACAUGCGAUGUGGGUGAUUCCAGUGGGGUCGCAUUCCUGCAGCUGCCAGGGUGCUGAGGGGCAGCGCCAGAGCGAGCGGGCCCCCUCCUCACAACUCACCCAGCUCAGCCAGGCAGGAUCAGAGCCCUGUGCAGGGACCGCCACCAGACUCCCCCCAGUGCCACAUCCCAGCU
ensembl:lncRNA